UUUUUAAAGGAGCAGGCAGCAGCACACCGGAGGCUUGUUCUCCUCUUCAGACGCGCCUCACUUCUCCAUUUCUCCAUCCAACUCGGCGGCGGCGGCGGCGGCAGCAGCGGAGCCGGACUGACAGCAGCUCAGAUUUGAUCAUGAUGAGGACGCAUCACUCACGGUGCCGACUGACUUGCCAGAUAUCAACAGGUCGAUGCAGAGUUCUUUAGCAAAACGCUUCCUCGUCCACCUGCACACUGCCAUUCAAUUGCACCACAUGGAUCCAUCCCAUAUCCUGGUCGCCAUGGUUACCGGGGCCACUUAUCACAGAGGGUCCUGGCAGAUCAAACAGGUGUGCAUCCUGAUGUUGUCUCUCCUCGGCGACUGUUGCUAGGAACCUUUGUUGCACACAAUGCACAGGUGCUUGUCGCUGCCAGUGAAAACCAGCAGGAGCGCAAAAACACCUUGAUGUCCCAGUCUGAACUGGUGUGUGUGUGUGUGUGUGUGUGUUAAGAUGUGUAAGUAUGUGUGUUCUUGUACUUGUUGUCCUUGUGAGAAACAGUGUAAUUUAGUUCUUCUGAAAAAGGGUGUUUAAAAAAAAAUAGGUCACUUUAUGGGUCAUCACUUCAUCAAGUUGUUACUGUACUUGUUUCAAAUCUUAAGCUCUUCUCUAUAACACUAAAGGGACACUCCAGUAAUUUAGUAUUGCAGUUCCAUGAAGUCAGGGGACUUGUAUGAGACAGAUUUUAAAAAGAAUAAUUCUGUGCAGUGCAGUAGAUGAUAAUGAUGACAUCAUCAGGGUUAUUUUUUUCAGUCUUUGGAGCUCUCCCUCUAUAUCCACAGAAGACAAUAGACAACUGUUUACGAAGGCUGAAUAGCACUCGGUGUAGUGGUGGAGUGCCCCUUUAAAUAUUCAUUACUAAAUGUGCAACAAUCUCAGUUAAAUCUCAGAGAGAAAACACUCUUAAGUAUUAUUUACGAAGAGUUUAACGCUUGAAAACUCAGCUAAUCUGCUUCAUCAGGACUGUGUAGGUGUGGUUUGAUCAGAUUUUUAUCACUGAUUGCUAAAUCCUGAUUGGUGCACAGAAAUGCAUGACACUACCUUUUUCCACCUGAGCCUGUCCCACUUCAAACCAGGGAGAAGAGCACAGACAAAACCAAAAAAAUAUAGAACUAAAAUAGGAAGUACAGUAAGAAGCUGAUUGGGAAAAUAGGUUUUCAGGGCUUUUAAGGUAACAAUUGACGUUAUUUUUUUUUUUUUGCCAUUAAGACUUGGGUUUUGGGUUAGUGGUGAGGCACGACCUUUUGAAAUGUUAAAAUAAAACAACGGUCAAUUUCUGCUACCACUAAUUGAGACACUGGAGAUUCAGUCCAAUUUGCCUGGAUACAAUUCUUGUGUCAGGAAGUUGAAAAUCCAAAUUUAGGAGUGAAAUUUAAAUGGUCUCUUACGCAGCAAUGAGCUUUUGGUGCAGUGAAGGAUGGCCUCACCUACGAUGAGCUCUUCACCACCUCUGCCCCCUACUUGAUACUCCUCAAAUUGCAUCUUCCUCCUGAAGCUGCAGAUGUGCUAAAUUUCCCAGUGCAGCUUUAAGAUUUGGGUUCAGGGUUAGGAAAAGGAUGUAGUCAACAGGAAAAGAAGGAAAGGAAUGAAAAGCAAAUGAAAUGAAAGGACGGGGGACAUUUGAGGGCCAGAGAACAUCGCUUGAGGCCCAGACAGAGAGCCAGAAAAGAAAAGAUUGUGUCAAAUCGUGAACCCAGUGAGGGUUCUUUGACUUGCAGACCCUGCCAAGCGAACCACUCCCCCCACCCUCCCUCCAUCCCUCUCUCCCUUUGCUCACCCCGCUCUCCCCCUGCAACUGUGUUGACGCCGCUGCCACCCUCACCCUUUCACCUCACACCCCGCUGUUCCUCACAGCUCCUUCUUUCUCCGCCACCCUCCCCCUGCCUCCACACGCAGCACCUGUUCUCCUAUUCAUCCUCUUGCCCAUCUCUAUCCAUCCUACAGCACCCACUUUAACCAAAGGUCCUCAUGAGGCAGCCUGCUGUCGAUAAAGCACGUACCUAAAAUGUCUCCGCACCCACACACACACACACACACACAUACUUCUCCUCCACUAUAUCCUAUCUAAUAAACCUGAAAGGACAAACAUAAGCCCCCCCCCCAAAAUUGCCCUUACCUCUGAAAUCCCCUCUCCACCUGGCAUUAACAUACGUUUCAUAUAAUUCAGAAGCUACAUCUGACACUGAAAUACAUAUCCUGUUCGUAUGUGAAUUUUCCACUUUGGGUUUCUCUCCCUCCACUGGUAAUAUUUACGAGAUAAUUAAUAUUGACAGGAAGCACUUGGUCUUGUUCAGUCAGCUGUACAGUCUACAAGUAUCUUCAUAAAUCCAUAUUGACAAGUGGGUUGCAGUCUGAGCUACCUUCCACCUGUUUGUGAGUUUAUUUCUGUGUACACAAUUACUGCAUGCAGAUGGGGUCUGAACUUCAGUGUGCCGUGGGUGCAUUUACACCUGCAGUUGAUCUGAUUUUGUUCUAUCUGAUUACGAUUUCAUUAGGUUGUAGUUUGGCGCCAGGGGCAUAAAUGGGUGAGGAACAAAAUGCAGUCCUUUAACAAAAUGUUUCUCUGUUCCUCUUUUCCUGCACUGCUUUCUUCCUCCAUGUUCUCCACCCCGCUCUGUCUCCCUUUCACCUUUUCCAUAUGUCACUCAUUUCAGCUUUAAUCCCCACAUAGCACCUUUCCUUUCUCUUGCUAAAACUCCUCCAUUUCUCUCCUCUACCUUGCACCUCUCUUACACCACUUCCCUCACCUCUCCUCCCUCAACAAGGCACCCCUCCUCCUCCUCUCCUCCCUGCUUCUCUUCUGUUCAUUCCACUCGCGCUCCAUACCCUAACCUAAUAACCUUGCCUCUCGAGAGCUCCCCUUGCCUCUCCACCUCACCUUCCCUGCUGCUCUUCCAGCAACAGCCCCACUCCCCCUCUCCGCCUCCUCACCCUCUCCGCCUCCCCUGCCCGCCGCCCCCACGUCUCUGGCUGCUUCUGCCCCUGCAGCGAGCCCUCGUCUCAGGCCGCCGUGUACAGGACGCUCCCUAUGUGAGAGGUCAGUGGUCUGGCUGUUUUCUCUGUUCUCCCCCUCAGCGAUUUCUCCAACCAUGACUGGAGAUCAGAGUCUUUCAUUCACUCUUGAAUAGGCUGCCAAAGGGUUAAAUAUUUAUUUAUGUCCAAUAUUUUUUUUACAGUUACAUUUGAACUCUCAAAUUAUUUUAGACAGCUAGGCUCUGUGCUCCAUUUCUCAUUCGUUUGUGUGUGUGUGUUUGAGCUCUUCAGAGAUACAAAGGGAGCCAUCCUGACAUGGAUUUGUAUCAUUUUUAAAGAUGAAUACAGGCUUUUCACAUUAACUGUGAGUCCUUAUAAUGACCACAAAACAAGUCUACAUGAUGAUAGCACACCAGUGGCACUGUUAGUGCUUUUGUUACAAAAACAAUUAAGACCUUAUUUCCACUGAAUGUGGCUCUAUCACAAAAAGGAUGUUGUGAUUUUUUUUUUCUUCUCUUGGCUGAUUCUGAAGAGAAUUAACAAAAUGCAUGUGAUCAAAUAGUUUUCUUCUUAUGACUAACUGUAUUCAAGUUAUGAUAGUAUCAAAUAGAAAAAAGCUAACUAUUGCUGCAUCUGUUCAACUGUAAGCAGGAAAUAUGUGGUAUUUUAAAUGACAAAUGGCUUAAUUUAUUUACUGAUUAUCAAUACUGUCAAAACAACUACAUAUUUGGUCAAAAUUGAGUUAAAACCACAAUCUGAGUUUUUGACACCUGUUUUUUACCUCUGUUUUUCUAGAGAGAAACAGAGGUAAAAACCAGACUUCAGCAACUACACAGCUAGCCGCUCAGCUGGUGAGAACUUUAGCUAAAGCUAAUUUAGCCCCUUUUUCUCGUUUCCUGCUAUUGAACUGACACAAUUUUGAUGCUCCAAUAUCUUAGUAAUUGUGUUGGUUAUACCACAUAAAUAAGGCAGUAGCUAGCUAGCUAGUAACUAGCCGUAGAACAGUAGCAUUAAGGCUGUAUUCAGACCAAAUCAGGCAUUGCGACGAUUAGCGCAGGGUUGUGUGGUAGUGUGCGGGGGUGUGGAUGUGUUUAUUUGUGCUUUAGAGCGUAACUGCUGUGAAACAAUUGGAAAAUAACGUUAUAUUUAUCUGAUUCACUGGCUUUCUUGCUACAACCGCUCCCUCUCUUCAUUCACUCUCUCAUUCUCGCUCUUAAUUCAAUUCAUAGGCCUUAUUAGCAUUUCAUGUCAUUUGACAUGUGUUGCCAAAGCACAGUUCUCAACUCAUCCAUCUUCACAGCUGCCUGGUAAACAGCAGAAUGCUACAGUGUGACAUGGUAAACAAGGUUCUUCUUCCUGUGGGCGUCUUCAGGUGCGCAGCGUGAUGUCGGGUUGCACUUCUCUAAAAGUUCAUUCUGUUUCAACUUUUUGCCACAGGGCCACUGCAUUUUUUUUCCACCACCCCCUGCGGUCCCCACCUCCGCAGCCUAAACAGAACACAUUCUUGGAGGACCGGCGUUUUCGCCGCAACGCCUGAUUUGGUCUGAAUACAGCCUAACUGCUAUCUCUGCAGCCUCUGACUCUAGUGGAGUUCAUGUGAUUUGCUGUGGUUAAGCUACCGUUUUAAUCACAGAUUCAAAUGUAUUUAUUUAAAGAUGAAUUAAUUAACAAGAAACAAGAACAUAUUUUAUUUGUAGAUAUUGUGUUUUCCGUGUGCCCUUUAGAUUGUCCAAACCUGGAGUGCAAUAGGCUACUUUGUUAGGUUUUAUGUAAGGUCUGUGGCAAUGAUUGGAAAUCAGUCUAAAAAGGCAUCAAAUUAAGAUUUUACAACUUAUACAUCUGGCUACGAAUCUUUAAGCUUUUCUUCAACUUUAAUGUUUCUAUAGUUAGUGCUCAUUUGUAAAGCAUUAUAAUAGCCCAGAAAUUGAUUAAUAAAAUAAUAAUUUCAGCACUAUAUCAUAAUAAUAAUAAUAAUAAUAAUUUUGGUUUGAAACGGGAUUUAAUGUAACAGGGAAAAGGUGGCAUGUAUUGAUGAUACGUGUAUUUCCUUUUUAGUUCAUUUAAUAAGGCAAAUUAAUUUGUGAAUCAAUUUGAACACUGUUUUCCAUUGUAAAGAGAUAUUAUCAUUUAUUAUUUUCAUCCCAGCCGAGAACGAGCUCUAGCAAAAAAUGACUUAAUUGCUGAACCCAUUAAUUUAACAUUCAUUUGUUUAAAUGUACUUUUACGAAAUUAAUCACAAUAUAAAUUAUCUUCAGAAUUGCAAAUCAUAAUGUAUGCUGGUGGCCAGAGGACAGAGAAAUCUGUUCUGUCACAGAACGAAUAAUGAAAAUGUGUCAUCUUGGAUGAGGAAGGCAGACACACACUGCUCUUCAGAGAAUUCCAUUUUCUAAUUCUCUGACAGACGCAGAGGGGGAGCAGAACACAUGUACCUCCCCCUCACAUACACCAAUUACUGCAAUGAGCAAAUGAAAGGUUGUGUCCCAUCAGGGCCGCCGUAGGGGGUAGAGAAAGAGAGGGGAAUGUAGCGAAAGAAGGGGGAGUUAUACAUAAUUGCCCCCCCCCCCCUCCACACACACACAUACAUUACCAAUAAUCAUCAUCUGCUGUCACCGUUGUUGAUAAUCCCAGAGUUGUCUGUUCAGCGCUACAGCAGAUUGGCUCUCUCUGCUCGCAUCCGCUCUCCUUGUUUUGUUUUUUUUUACUUUUCGCCCUCGAUUUCUUGUCUCCAUUUCUCCAUCAUGCCAUUUUACCCACUCCACAGAUUUUCCCUCCUCCUCCUCCUCAUCAACUGUCACCAUGCUCAGUGACAUUUUCACUGACAAUAAUAGCAGUCAAAAUAUGUAGAAAGAGUCUGCCGGGUCAAUCAGGUUUAUUUGCAGCUUCACAGCACCAAAAUAAAAUACAAUGAUGGAUAAUGCAACUAUUAGUGCUUAUAUUUAUUAAGCUUUUAUAUUUCAGUUGUAACUAAUAUCAAAUGUAGGUAUUUGUAUCAUUCUGUAAAGCUUCAUGAAGUCACUGAAGAGCCUCUGCAGAGUCAUAAACUGAAGGCAGCAAAAUUAGAUUCUUCCUGUCUAAUUUACAGCUGCUCUGUGUGUAUCUCCAAUAUGGCAGAACUUAAACCUAACUGUAAAUCUGAAAGCUGUGAAGCCCACCUGACUGCAUGUUCUCAGUGCACUCGGCUGCAGCAUAGUGUCUCUGCAGGCUAAUUGAAGUCAACCACAGGGCACUGCUAAUGAUCAGCCUACAGCGACCCUUGAUGGUCUGUUAUCUUCCUGUCUGCAGCCCUGCGUGGUAUUUAGAGUGAUCCUGAAGGUUGAGAGAAAGAGCAAAAAGCAAGGUACAAAAAAUAAAAACGACAAAGAGGUGGGGGAGGUGGAGUGGAGAAGGUGGUGGGAGUGGGGGUGUUAGACAAAUGACCCAGGUGAUGAAAUAACCACCACGCUGUGCAGGAAGUAGCCAUGUCCAGCUCUGCUCACUUCCGCUCAGUGGUCAUUAUCCCUCCCCAGAGCUCCCCGCGGCUCCAGAUUCACUAACACAGAAUCAAUACGAGCAGGUGGAGCAAAAGGUGGGAGGACAUGAACUGGGGGGGGGGGUGUUAGAAGAACCUUAUUCAACCCUGGAGGAGCUUUGGCUUUGGCAAAGGCUGCAAUAAAUUUAAGAGACAUAUUUUCUAAUGUUUUGUCUAUUCAGUGUAGAUUGUGUUGUUUUACUGCUUCAGCAGCGUAUCAGCCCCUUGUGUUCUUGCAGCCGGUCUUGUUCCUGCCACGCUUUGCCCUCGUGGCAUUUGGGUUUACGAGUCCUGGGAGCCAGCGGUCAGCCUCCCCAGUUAGAUGUGACAUAAAAACAAGCAUCCAGGCUCUGCCAGUCACUCAUAAUGGGGUGUGUUAACGCAAGAGCAACAGCUAAUUAUUGGCCACUGCUGCUUUUUGUCCUUUUAAUUGUUCAUUUCAGAGAAUGAAAUGUAAAACUCCAAAUACAACUGAAUCUUGUAUCAUAGCUCAGUUAGAAUAAUCGUCAAAAAAAGUCAACAUCCAUUAUAUUUGUUAGCAACUGUUCACAUCACAUGCUGCAAUAUGAAAGUGAACAUAAAGACAUAGAAAAAUUCUUUUUCUUCUGAAAUUAGAAAUCCUCGCAAUCACCACGACAUCCUUAAAGUAUUUACUAACAAAAACCCUAAAAGAUAAAGAUUUUCUUUUGAAAACAAAAUGAAAUGUUUUGGUCAACAAAAAAUCAUUCUCAGUAUCUCACUCCCCCUAGUUGCUGCUAUUUCAGAUCAUUUUCUAUUGGAGAAUGAAUUCAAAUGUUCAUCAUUUCACAAACAAACUCAGAUUCAAAAGAAGGAAUGUGAUUCAUUGUAUGUUUGUGCAUCACAUGAGAGCUGGUUGAGGCAGGAGACUCAGCUGGGAAAGCCGGCUGGGUUGCAGAUAAAUGAACUGUGAUAUAUAAUACACAGGAUGUACGCACAAUAACAGCAAUAACCUGUAGAAUAUAACGUGAUCCAACAGAACAUCCCUGCAGUAUUCUGUGAAGCUUAUAAUGCUCAGGUUUUUCUUGAGACUGUGAGAAUGUCAUCUGUGGCGGAGCUGAGUUGGAUUGCAUUAUAUUUUAAGGUGCACCUGCAGCAACGAAAAGAACAGUUAAGUUAGGGACUGUACAAAAAAUAUUUGCUUUCCUUUUGGCUAAACGACAGAGCAGGGGGUGGUCUUUUAUUUAUUGCACUGUAUUUUAAGGUAUACAUGUUAUUGUGUCCACCCCCUGUCAUGUCAUUUGCACACAGUAUGACUUCAUUUAAAAACCCUAUGCGAAGCCCCUGCCUCAUCACCACAUUAAGAGCCUUGUCCAUAUGAAGUGGCAGCAUGAAUUAAAAUAAAGUCCUUUAGAGAGUCUCUAUUUGCAUGUCAUUAACAUGAAAUCAUAAUCUAUUUGAAAUUAUCAUCAUGAAUGAAUAGUUAAUGAUUUGAUUAGCUUACCAUACAUGUAAAGGGAUUUUUUUCACGUUGGAUAUGAUGGAAUAUGAUAAAAGGAUUUUUCCCCCCUGCCUCUGUAAAAGAAUUACAUUUCACUAACUGGCCUUGACAACCUAAUUGAACAUUAGUCUAAUAUAGAACAUUACCAGGAGAGAAAGGAAAGAAAGCUGUCCUUGAACACUCUUUCAGCUUCGUGGUGAACAUUACUGUCUUCUCCCAGUUAUUUCUCUCUUUGGCUCUGAGUGAAAGGACCUUCAUCCCAAAGUGAAGAGCAUAAUUUAGCCUGCUCUGAUGACAUAGAACUAUUCAGCAGGCUCUUUAUAAUUGUUUGACCAGGGCUCGGAGAAUAAUACUCCCAAACCCUCACCCUCUGAGCUUUUCUUCUGCAAAAGUCUGAGUACAUGCACUGACCUAAGUCUUCCAGAAGACAGAGAUAACCAGAGCCAGUUAGUUAUGUGAACUAUGGGGAGCCUAUUAUUUCUUAAUAUGCUUUUUUAAUGUGAAAAUUAGAAGCAGACUGGACGUCGAACUAAUUCCUAAUGUGUCAUUCUGUGUGUGUGUGUGUGUGUGUGUGUGUGUGUGUGUGUGUGUGUGUGUCUGUGUGUCUGUGUGGGUUCAUGGGUUUAACCAGGCAGCAUGUCCUUGUGUAGCGAUCUUCAAUGUUCCUCGGCUAAUACCUGUAACUCAGUGGCUCAUACUGGACGUUAAUGAGUACUGAGAAGGGCACACCUCGCCAGGCAGAAAGAGAGGGAGAGAGAGAAGUACUUAGGGAACAGAGAGAGAGAGAGAGAGAGAGAGAGAAAAGAAAGAGAAAGAAAAGAGAGCAGUGCUGGUCUAAUGAACUCAUAGCUCGCUGUAUGCUGUCACUCUCCUGCUCAGCGCUGUGACCUGGACAAUGCAGCCACAUUGUUGCCCCGACAUUGUGUGUGCUAACCCAGGCAGCCAGCACCCCAUAGAGAAUCAAUGGCUCCUGUAACUUAAACUUGGUGGCGGUGUGGGCCAGCGAAGGCAGCUGUCAUUCUGAGUAUUGUAGGCUCUGACAGCAGCCUCUGAUGAGGGCAUUGUAAAGACAGAAACUACAGACACGACAUGGUGCAAUGUGGAGGCUGUACAAGUUCACCACGAAAUAUAAAGAUUUACAUCUAAAGCUGCAGCAACUACAAGAACAGUUAAAUUAGGGACUGUACGAAAAUUAUUUGGGGGAAGGCAGGGACAGAAAAGGGAAGGAUUUUAUAAGGGUUUUUUUGGCCAAAGGGAGGGCAGUUUGAGGUUUCUGGGAGAGCAGCGGGUCAAUCGGACAUAUAACUGAUCUAAUUGAUAUUUAUUUUUAAAACUUGAAUUUGGUUUGGGGUAAAAUAUUACAGCUGAGCCUUCAGUACCUUCAGAGCUACCACUCAGUGGCAGUAAUAACCAGAUAUUUAUUAUUAUUAUUUUUAAAACAGAACUGGCUGGAAUAUUAUAAAGAAUGCAUUGAUGGCUACAUCAUUGUUCCAUAAAGAUUUACAAAAUGAAACAACAACGUCUUUAUACUAGAGCAACAGGCUGGAACAGUCAAAUCUCAAACACCUGUGACAGUUUUUCAUAUUUUGAACAAACUCCAUGCAAAGACCAAAACGAACAGUGUGUUAUUCUGUCUCACAGUAUUUUCUGACUUUCCUACCAUGUCUGUGGCACUAACCGUCAAGCCCAUUUGUUCCUUCUGAAGACGUAAAUCUUUAGAAACUGGUCACAACUAUGUAAUUUCAGUUUUAAAAAAGGCUUAGUAAUUUCCUCAAACAGCAGGGCACUGUAGUUUUUUAGUAAACAUUACUCAAACAGGAGUUCUUUUGGGGGGACUAUUUUCAGCUGUGGAUUAAUCCACAUUUGGUACUCCAGUGAGUAUUUACAGCAGGAUGUAAUAUGUCGGACUGACUAAAAAGAAACUACAGUGCCCAUGUUCAUCAUAACGAAGAAACAUGUCACCCAGUGUGGCUCAUUGGUGUGUUUUUAAUCGUUUUUGGAGACAUGGAGGUCGAUGGCACGGAGGAAAAUGAUAUAUCAGGCUUUGGCUACACACACAGUGCUUGUUAGUUGGAUCAGAUGUUGGUCUUUUCAUGGGAUUUGUUGACUGUAAGAAAAAUAUAGAAUAACAACAGACUUGGGCAGUGAGCACCAGAUCAAAAAAAAACCCAUAAUGCAAAGAUGCGCUACACAUGCUCUUCGGCUGGCAAAUGAUCUCUAGAAGUCAGAGCAAUAAAUUCUAUUAUAUCCUUAAGAAUAUCCUCUAUACGAGACUGUAUUUUGCUGCACUGCAUUUGGGAAAUCAGCUUUUUCUGUAAAAGCCACAAAUCAGUGGAACACAAUGUGAAGAGCUGCAGCACUAUCAGCACUUUUAAAACCAUCUUAAAAAGUCUGUUAAAAGCUGCUCAGCUGUGUACUGACUUUAAAUUCUAUCUUAUGGUCUUCAUGACUUGCUUUUAUUUGACAAGCAUGCAUUGAUGAUGCGCUAUUGUGUGUAGUUUUGUAUUGCGUGUCUUGUGUGUUCUUUUUGUAUAACUUUGUAUUAUGUUAUUGUGCUGUCUCUUUGUUUUGACCUGCCAAGGGACUACAGAUGUUAAUUAGCGUAAAGCUAUAUUCUGGUACGGUGCAUGAAAUGGUGACAUUUAUGUUUCAAACUGUAGAUGGUCCCUUUUGAAUAAAUAAGUAAGUGCAGAGCAAAAACACCAAAGCCUCAGUUAGUUAGCACCCAUGAUAUGAAAAUCAAUUUAAAAAGGAACUCAAGGAUUUAGCACUUUUUUAUAGUGUUGAGAAAAAAGUAUUGUUCUUGUGGAAAGCUGUAAUUUUACAGUAAUCACAUGCUUUUAAGCUUGGGUGAUUUUUUUUUUCAUACUAAAUCUCCCACAGUCCUCUACAGUAUAUAUAAAUAUGCAAACCGGUGCAAUCCAUUUAUCAUGUUCUGUGAUUUCAGACAUCAAUCAUCCAUGUCUUGGGUAAAAUAAGUAAAGUUUUUCACUUAAUUUCUGGGGUGGGGUGGGGGUGCUUCUGUCAGACAUGAAGUUUUCCUCCAGCGGUGGUAAUAUAAGAAUUCCAGGUCCUUAAUGGGCUUUAGACUGAGAUUUGAUUGGGUCCUGUAGUACCUCAACCCCAACGAGGACCUGAAAGGCCCCGCAGGGCAGAGCACCCAGAGAGCAGGGAUAUGAAUAGAAAGGUAUUGAAGCAGGUAUUGAGGUCCCAAAGAGGUGUGUGUGUGUGUGUGUGUGUGUUCUUUUCAGGUCUUAAGAGCUCUUAUACCCAUGCAGUAAAACAUGGAGCACAGCACUCCCGGAACCUGCCGGUCAUUUCAUCUACUUCCAAAUGUCACAGACCUUUGUUGAGAUCAGCAAGCAGGGCACCUGUGUGUUUGUGUUUGUGUGUGUGUGUGUGUGUGUGUGUGUGUGUGUGUGUGUGUGUGUGUGUGUGUGUGUGUGUGUUUGUGUGUAUACUGUAGGCUACACAUGAUUGGCCUGACAGACUUAAGUAAAAAAAAAAAGAAAAAGAGCACAAAAAACACUCUAAAUUGAUAACUUUAUUGCUGUGCUGCUCUCUGCUGUGCCUCAGCUUUGCCAUUUCUCUGUCACAGUAAAACCAUCAGCCCGGGGAAGAUGGCUAUCGUCAUCUUGACCAUCUUGGCCAUAAUUAAAGAACAGGAAUUCACCGAGACUUGAAACAGCUCAGAGCAGUCAAAACAAAUGACAAAAAACAUUACAAACCUCAUAGAAAGUCCACAUCCUCAAUAUAUUUCAGACAAAUAAGUGAUUUUUGUUGUUCCCUUUUUUCCUCCAGGACAAUAAUGAGGUGGGAAAGCCGUGUCGGUCAGUGUGUGGCGCGGGGCCGUUUACCCACCAUUAAAGAUUAAUAGAAAUAGAAGAACGGCAGAGAGGUCAGCGGGGCUGAAGCCAGCGAUAUUAACAGGAAAUAGGAUGGAGCAGAGAUGCUGUAGGCGGGCUACAGCUAAACAAGCCAUUAUCAUUCAUUUACAGGAUAUUUGUCAUUCACAACACAACCUGCACCCACAAUAGUGUUGACUUGAAUAACAGACAACUGCUGAACAUGAAAACAGUUAUCUCGCUGUUUUAUUCUCCCUCAUUUGCACUUUGCUUCCCUUUUCCUCUUCUUUUUUUUCUCCACUCCUCUCAUCUCUUUUUCUUUAAUUUCCUUCCCUGCCCUCUUCUGCCCUUUCCUCUCCUUCUGCUGUUUUCCUUGCCUUUGCCUUUUCCUUUUCAUGUUCUCUUUCCUUACCCAUUUUUCUCUUUCCUUUCAUAUCCUUUCUUUUUUCUUUUCUUUCCUUUUCACUCCUCUUCUGUCCUUCCAUCCCCCCUUUUCCUUUCCUUUCUCUCAUAUUACCGUUUCUUUUCCCUUUCCCUCUCUGUUUUCCUUUCCUUCCAACUGCCUUUUCCUUGCCUUUGCUUUCCUCUCCUUACCUUACAUUUUUGUCUUUCCUCUUCCCAGCUCUCCUCUUCCUUAUCCUGCAGAAAUCCAACUUUAUUUGCAGAGCUUUAGAGAUUAAACUUGUGUCCUUUACUCUUCUUUUAUUAAAACAGCCGCUCUGUCACAACUGCUCAGCUUUCUGUGUGUGUGUUUGAGAUCUCUCUUCACGUUCUAUCCCAGAUUUUACAGUAGCGGAGUGGGAUCCACAAUGAAAUAGCCACGUGAGACUUGUACGUGUGUGCAUAUGUGUGUCUGCAUGUGAGCUGUAGUUAUCGGUGCAUUAUUACCAGCUCCAGGGCAGCAGAGAGAGCUGCAAAUUAUUUCAUCAAUGUUGCUUUGUCUCUUCUAUUGUAUGUUGUUUCCUCGCACUCCUGUUUGCAUCAACACAAGCAAAUCCAAAGUGCCUUAAUGUCCCAGAUGUUUACAUCAUGCGUGAUGAAUGAAUAAAGUAAUUGUGAUUCAUGGAAUGAAUGUAUCACAAUGUGCAAACACAUUUAGGUUGGUUAUUAUACAGUGUUGAGUGUGUCCUGACAUUGCUUGUAUAAUGUGUUUAUGUGAUUAGCUUUAAAGCACUGUAAGUAUUAAUAACUUCCUCUCUUUAGAUAUAUGAUCCUUGAAGAUUAUUGAGGAUAUGUUGUUACAUAUUGUGUAUUUCAUUUGACACUAUUAUUAAUAAUGCACCUUUUUCACAGGCAGUUUCAGGAGGAUAAAACCUUUUUUAAUCAGGAAAAUCCUUAAUAGUUGAUGUCACACCUCAUCUGACUUAUAGGGCUGCUGUUGUCAGAUAAUCAGGAGCCAGUACUUUGAAUCGAGCCUGUCAGUGUGACAUGUUGUGGAAGACUAGUGAUUUUGUUGUUGUACAUUCACAUUCUUGACAACAAGUCACAGUCUACCUCAGUGAGUCACGCCUGCACAUCCGUCUUCUCCUCAAUUCUUACCUGUUCCCCUUUGCAUUUGCCUGUGUGUUGCACUUCCAUCAUCUUCAUCUAAGCGUCUUCCGGCUUACAAAUAUAAUCAACUCGCCUGGAUCUCCACUAGUGGUCGACCGAUAUGGGUUUUUUAAUGGCCGAUGCAGAUGUCGAUAUUUAGAGAGCAUAUAAUGCCGAUAUCAUGUUGUUUUUUUGUUGGUUCAGUGAAAUAAUGCCAUAAGGGACUAGAUUUCUGUCCAGCCAUCUGUAUUAAAAUAGAAAAAAUACAAGGUCAAUAUUUGGGUUAAAAAUAAAAAAAUGAAAAAAAAAGAAAA